CUUAAUGGUGCCUCUACAAUGAGUUUUAGAUUUGAUCUAAUCAAAUCUGAUUCUAUAAGUUCACUAGAUUGUAACAGUUCUUCUACCUGUUGAAUUUCAUAAGUUCUACAUUAAAGGCAUCAGUUCUUUCAUCAAGAUACUCUUUUUCUAAAAGAAAUGCCGAACAACUCUUGUUCUUUAGCAAGGUAGAAGUUAUAUUCUCC
rnacentral:lncRNA from 1 species